rnacentral:lncRNA from 1 species
CAAUCGAAUAAAGAGUAAAACCUAAUUAUAUUGUUAUAUUAUGCCCCGAUAGUGUAAAUUUGGAACGAAUCGAUGUCAACGUUCACAAGAACCAGAACCGGAACAACAUUAGACUACUCUGUUGCGACCUAACAGUUUAGCUUUGCAACGAGUACUUUUUCUAAUUCUAUCGAACAAGGAGUAAAAGCUUUCUAUUAUACCCCGAGAGUGUAAAUUUGGAAUGAAUCGAUGUCAACGUGCACAAAAACCCAAACCGGAACAACGUUAGACUACUCAGUUGAGCCCUAACAGUAUAACAUUGCAACUAGUACUUUUUCUCAUUCAAUCGAACAAGGAGUAAAACCUAAUUAUAUUGUUCUAUUAUGCACCGAGAGUGUAAAUUUGGAACGAAUCGAUGUCAAUAUUCACAAGAACCAAAACCGGAACAACAUUAGACUACUCUGUUGCGCCAUAAAAGAAUAACUUUGUAACGAGUACUUUUUCUCAUUCUAUCGAACAAGGAGUAAAAGCUGUCUAUUAUGCUCCGAGAGUGUAAAUUUGGAACGAAACGAUGUCAACGUUCACAAGAACCAAAACCGGAACAACGUUAGACUACUUAGUUGAGCUCUAACAUUAUAACUUCGCAACUAGAACUUUUUCUCAUUUAAUCGAACAAGGAGCAAAACCUAAUUAUAUUGUUCUAUUAUGCCCCGAGAGUGUAAAUUUGGAACGAAUCGAUGUCAAUGUUCACAAGAACCAAAACCGAAACUAAAUUAGACUACUCAGUUGCGCCAUAACAGUAUAACUUUUCAACGAGUACUUUUUCUCAAUCAAUCGAAUAAAGAGUAAAACCUAAUUAUAUUGUUAUAUUAUGCCCCGAGAGUGUAAAUUUGGAACGAAUCGAUAUCAACGUUCACAAGAACCAGAACCGGAACAAUAUUGGACUACUCUGUUGCGCCAUAACAGUAUUACUUUGUAACGAGUACUUUUUCUCAUUCUAUUGAACAAGGAGUAAAAGCUUUCUAUUAUGCCCCGAGAGUGUAAAUAUGGAACGAAACGAUGUCAACGUUCAUAAGAACCAAAACCGGAACAACAUUAGACUACUCAGUUGAGCCCUAACAGUAUAACUUUGCAACUAGAAUUUUUUCUCAUUUAAGCGAACAAAGCGCAAAACCUAAUUAUAUUGUUCUAUUAUACCCCGAGAGUGAAAAUUUGGAACGAAUCGAUGUCAAAGUUCACAAGAACCAAAACCGGAACUAAAUUAGACUACUCAGUUGCGCCAUAACAGUAUAACUUUGCAACGUGCACUUUUUCUCAUUCAAUCGAAUAAAGAGUAAAACCUAGUUAUAUUGUUCUAUUAUACCCCGAGAGUGUAAAUUUGGAACGAAUCGAUGUCAAAGUUCACAAGAACCAAAACCGGAACUAAAUUAGACUACUCAGUUGCGCCAUAACAGUAUAACUUUGCAACGUGCACUUUUUCUCAUUCAAUCGAAUAAAGAGUAAAACCUAGUUAUAUUGUUCUAUUAUGCCCCGAGAGUGUAAAUUUGGAACGAAUCGAUGUCAGCGUUCACAAGAACCAAAACCGGAACAACAUUAAACUACUCUGUUGCGCCAUAACAGUAUAAAUUGUAACGAGUACUUUUUCUCAUUCUAUCGAAUAGGGAGUUAAAGCUUUCUAUUAUGCCCCGAGAGUGUAAAUUUGGAACGAAUCGAUGUCAACGUUCACAAGAACCAAAACAGGUACAACGUUAGACUACUUAGUUGAGCCCUAACAGUAUAACAUUACAAUUAGUACUUUUUCUCAUUCAAUUGAACAAAGCGUAAAACGUAAUUAUAUUGUUCUAUUAUGCCCCGACAGUGUAAAUUUGGAACGAAUCGAUGUCAUAGUUCGCAAGAUCAAAAACCAGAACUAAAUUAGACUACUCAGUUGCGCCAUAACAAUAUAAUGUUUGCAACGAGUACUUUUUCUCUUUCAAUCGAAUAAAGAGCAAAACCUAGUUAUAUUGUUCUAUUAUGCCCCGAGAGUGUAAAUUUGGAACGAAUCGAUGUCAACAUUCACAAGUGCCAAAACCGGAACAACAUUAGACUACUCUGUUGCGCCAUAGCAGAAUAACUUUGUAACGAGUACUUUUUCUCAUUCUACCGAGCAAGGAGUAAAAGUUUUCUAUUAUGCCCCGAGAGUGUAAAUUUGGAACGAAUCGAUGUCAACGUUCACAGGAACCAAAACCGGAACAACGUUAGACUACUCAGUUGAGCCCUAACAGUAUAACUUUGCAACUAGAACUUUUUCUCAUUUAAUAGAACAAAGCGCAAAACCUAAUUAUAUUGUUAUAUUAUGCCCCGAGAGUGUAAACUUGGAACGAAUCGAUGUUAACGUUCACAAGAACCAGAACCGGAACAACAUUAGACUACUUUGUUGAGCCAUAACAAUAUUACUUUGUAACGAGUACUUUUUCUCAUUCUAUCGAACAAGGAGUAAAAGCUUUCUAUUAUGCCCCGAGAGUGUAAAUUUGGAACGAAACGAUGUCAACGUUCACAAGAACCAAAACCGGAACAACGUUAGACUACUCAGUUGAGCCCUAACAGUAUAACUUUGCAACUAGAACUUUUUCUCAUUUAAUAGAACAAAGCGCAAAACCUAAUUAUAUUGUUAUAUUAUGCCCCGAGAGUGUAAACUUGGAACGAAUCGAAGUUAACGUUCACAAGAACCAGAACCGGAACAACAUUAGACUACUACGUUGUGCCAUAACAGUAUUACUUUGUAACGAGUACUUUUUCUCAUUCUAUCGAACAAGGAGUAAAAGCUUUCUAUUAUGCUCCGAGAGUGAAAAUUUGGAAAGAAACGAUGUCAACGUUCACAAGAACCAAAACCGGAACAACGUUAGACUACUCAGUUGAGCCCUAACAGUAUAACUUUGCAACUAAAACUUUUUCUCAUUUAAUCAACAAAGUGCAAAACCUAAUUAUAUUGUUCUAUUAUGCCCCGAGAGUGUAAAUUUGGAACGAAUCGAUGUCAAACUUCACAAGAACCAAAACCGGAACUAAAUUAGACUACUCAGUUGCGCCAUAACAGUAUAACUUUGCAACGUGCACUUUUUCUCAUUCAAUCGAAUAAAGAGUAAAACCUAGUUAUAUUGUUCUAUUAUACCCCGAGAGUGUAAGUUUGGAACGAAUCAAUGUCAACGUUCACAAGAACCAAAACCGGCACAACAUUAGACUACUCUGUUGCGCCUUAACAGUUUAACUUUGCAACGAGUACUUUUUCUCAUUCUACCGAACAAGGUGUAAAAGCAGUCUAUUAUACCCCGAGAGUGUAAAUUUGGAACGAAGCGUUGUCAACGUUCACAAGAACCAAAACCGGAACAAUGUUAGACUACUCAGUUGAGCCAAAACAGUAUAACUUUGCAACUAGAACUUUUUCUCAUUUAAUAGAACAAAGCGCAAAACCUAAAUAUAUUGUUCUAUUAUGCCCCGAGAGUGUAAAUUUGGAACGAAUCGAUAUCAACGUUCACAAGAAUCAUAACCGGAACAACAUUAGACUACUCUAUUGCGCCAUAACAGUAUAACUUUGCAACGAGUACUUUUUCUAAUUCUAUCGAAUAAGGAGUAAAAGCUUUCUAUUAUGCCCCGAGAGUGUAAAUUUGGAACGAAUCAAUGUCAACGUUCACAAUAACCAAAACAGGAACAACGUUAGACUACUCAGUUGAGCCCUAACAGUAUAACAUUGCAACUAGUACUUUUUCUUAUUCAAUCGAACAAAGAGUAAAACCAAAUUAUAUUAUUCUAUUAUACCCCGAGAGUGUAAAUUUGGAACGAAUCGAUGUCAACGUUCACAAGAACCAAAACCGGAACAACAUUAGACUACUCUGUUGCGCUAUAACAGAAUUACUUUGCAACGAGUACUUUUUCUCAUUCUAUCGAACAAGGAGUAAAAGCUGUCUAUUAUGCCCCGAGAGUGUAAAUUUGGAACGAAACGAUGUCAACGUUCACAAGAACCAAAACCGGAACAACGUUAGACUACUUAGUUGAGCUCUAACAGAAUAACUUUGCAACUAGAACUUUUUCUCAUUUAAUCGAACAAGGCGCAAAACCUAAUUAUAUUGUUCUAUUAUGCCCCGAGAGUGUAUAUUUGGAACGAAUCGAUGUCAAAGUUCACAAGAACCAAAACCGGAACUAAAUUAGACUACUCAGUUGCGCCAUAACAGUAUAACUUUGCAACGUGCACUUUUUCUCAUUCAAUCGAGUAAAGAGUAAAACCUAGUUAUAUUGUUCUAUUAUGCCCCGAGAGUGUAAAUUUGGAACGAAUCGAUGUUAGCGUUCACAAGAACCAAAACCGGAACAACAUUAGACUACUCUGUUGCGCCAUAACAGUAUUACUUUGUAACGAGUACUUUUUCUCAUUCUAUCGAAUAAGGAGUAAAAGCUUUCUAUUAUACCCCGAGAGUGUAAAUUUGCAAGGAGUCGAUGUCAACGUUCACAAGAACCAAAACAGGAACAACGUUAGACUACUUACUUGAGCCCUAACAGUAUAACAUUGCAAUUAGUACUUUUUCUCAUUCAAUUGAACAAAGAGUAAAACCUAGUUAUAUUGUUCUAUUAUAACCCGAGAGUGUAAAUUUGGAACGAAUCGAUGCAACGUUCAUAAGAACCAAAACCGGAACAACAUUAGAAAACUCUAUUGCGCCACAACUGUAAGGUACCGAACUUCUAAAAUCAUGAAGUUACGGUGUACAUUUGGUUGGAGAGCCAUUGGAAAGGUUCCGGUGAAGUUCGGUGAAGUUCGGGAGCAUUCGGGCGAUUCGGUGCGCGUAGGCGCGGAAACGGAACCCGAAAGGCUAUGUUGGUCCAUGGAUUAAAUCCAGCAUUAGCAUGGAUGAAAAGAUGGUGAAAACAUGUUUGAAAACAUGUUGGGAGAGUCUCGGUUCGAUUUGAAACGAAUCAGAGGUCAAACGAGCAAAAACGGACGAAAACGGAGCGAAAACGGUGAAAAAGCUGAAAAUUUGGCUAAGUCCUAAAUGCUGUUUUUCUGGGCCUUCGGGGACCGGUCCCUCAAGUCCAGAGACCGGUCCCAGCACCCGAAAAUGGCCCAGUUUGGGCUGUGCACAACUAAUAUUGUUGAGGGGCCUUUGUGCAAUUGUGCAGAGUGUAUAGAGAGAGUUGGGGGCUCAUUUCCUCUCCCUCCCAAUACGUUGCAACCAAGAGCUCUCCCUCUCUCUCUCUAAGUGCUCUUCUUCUCUCUCUAGAAGGUGAUGGAGGAGAGGAUUUUGGUGGAGAUCAAGAUCAAGAGAGGGGAUUUCUUCUUCUUCUUCUCCUUCCUUGGCUAGUAGCAAGCUUGGAGAGGUAAGCUUCAAAACCCUUUAAUGGCAUCUCUUUAUAGCUUGGGUUUUAAGCUCUAGGAAUGGGUUUAGAUGUAUUCUAGCAUGCUAAAUAGAGAUUUGGUGCUUGAAUCCAAAGCUCUAAUGGUGGAUUCUUGCCUAGUUAUAAACCUAGGGCUCAAAAUGGGAUUUUGAGAAAUAGUUGGGUUUGAUCUCAUUUAACCCUCUGUAAACCUAAUUGAUAGGUCACUGAACGCGUUGGAAGCGACGGUUCGUCGAUUCGUCGAGCAGGUGCGACGUUCCGGCUGAAACAGGUGUUGUAGGCUUCGUUUCCGCCUGGAGGGCCGAGGCGACGUCGUAAAAUCCUGGAAACGGAUUUGGAGCAUCAUAACAAGAAACCGAAGGCCUAUAAUUUUCGGAUCGCGGAUCGGAGGUCGUUUGGUGGUCGCGCGCGCAUUGGGUCAAGUCGAGCGACGUGCGCCGCGGGAGGCCGAUUGCGAGUGACGACGAGCAAUCGGAACGCGAUAAAGGUGGGGGGUGUCAUCCCGAAGCAAUCGGGCUUCUCCUUAUGUCCAAGUAUCUUUAUGUUGAUCAAUUAUGCAUAUUGAGCAUGAUGCAUUAUAGGGUGCUUGAUUAGUGUUAUUACAUAUUCUUGCAUGUUAGUGUAAUAUAGUGUUGUUGGCAGAAUACUUGUACCUAAUAUGCAUGUGAUUGGGACAUAGUGUAGUGAAACCCUAUAAUGACAAGAUUAAUGUGGAUAGACUCUAGUUGAAAGAACACCUAGUCGUCGUGUACAAUUAGAGUAUUGAGAACGAGUGGCAUGUAAACAAUGAUCAUAACAAUAACGAGUGGCAUUGGAACCUAGUUAUGAUAUUUGAGUAUAGGGAUUAGUUGAGUUUUCCCUAGUUAUGAUACAUUGCAUGGGUGGAUUUCCCUAGUUACGGUUUGGUAGAGAACCUAAAGAGUUGUGUUGUUAACCCUAGAUGGUAGGGUAUCCUCAGUGACGGGGAUUUGAUCAUACUCUAUGUCUGUUCGAAGCUUGGUGUGGUCGCUCCACACAAGCAGUGCACUCCGGAGUUGUCACACGAUAGGGAUAGCCUUUUGGGUCCCGAGGGGUUAGCCUUUUUGGGCCCCGCAGACGGUCUGGGUUGAGUGAGUAGUUCUCGCCUUGAGCGAGCGGUUCCUCACCCAUGAGAUUGAGUGGUGGUUGAGUGAGUAGUUCUCACCUUGAGUGAGCGGUUCCUCAUCCACUAGAUUGAGAUCGACUUGUGGCACCUAUGUCGAGAGUUAGGUGAGUGAGCGGAUCCUCACCAGUGUGACUGAGAGUAGGUGUGGCACCUAUAGCAUAGUCAUGAGAUUGAGAGUGUGCCUCUAGGCUAGCCGAGUGAUUGGGUAAACUAUUGAGCAUAUAGUAGUGUGAUGGUUGGCCUUUACUGAGAUUUGAGUGGAACAGCCUUGUACCUAUUCGAGAUUGAGUCGGACCGUCGAGAGGCGAGUCGGGUGAGGAGCGGGGUAGCUCAUUGCCUAGGACUUUCGAGAUUGGGUCGGACCUUCAAGAUAUGAGUCGGGCAAGGAGCGGGGUAGCUCUUUGUCUAGGACACUUGAGAUAUGAGUUAGGCGGGAAAGGAGCGGGGUAGCUCUUCACCUCCUGGACUUGAGACCUUAGGCAAGAUUGGCCUAGUCGAUUGGAUAGUAACAUGAAUUGCAUAAGUGGAUUGCAUUCAUACCAUGAUUAGACAUAGUAGAUCGCAUAUCUAUGUUGUAGUUGUAUUCAUUACAUUGUUGAAGCAUACUAGCAUGAUAGUAGGUUAUUGCUAGAUGAUGUUCCAUGCAUUCUUUGCAUUUGAUGGCAUAGUAGAUAUAGUAGCAGUUAUUUCUAUCUAUCUUUCUAUCUAUCUAUCUGUGCCAGCUUGGACCUAGUGGGAAGAUCGGCGGAGUCGGCGGCCGAACCCACUGGAACUAUAUUUAUAUAGUUCUCACCCCGUGUGGUUUUGGGGUACAGGUACACACGAGAGCGGACCGGCAGAUGAUCGCGGCAAGGGCUUAGCGCCCUAGUGCUAGUUGGUAGAUGCUUUCCUAUUGCAUUACUUGUCACCCUAUAUACUUGAGAGUAGAUGAUGUAUAGGUGUGAGGCUAUUUUGGAAAAUGUAAACUUUAAGUUUAUGCUUUGGAUGAAUGUAAAGCUAAGUUGGAAUCAAAGGUAUUAGAGUUGAAUGGAUGUAAUAGCUUAGUAUCUCUCUUUUGAUCACUUGUUUAUUACUUGUGAUGCUUGCUCUUGAUUGUUUAGCACUGGUUGUGCUCUCGUCGCUGUUGUUGCAUGAUUGUGUAUGUAAUCAAGUUGAUUUCCUGGGAACUUGUUGUACACCAUCUCGUUUGAGCCUUGGGCGGACAGGGGAGGUGCUGUCCGUUCGGCGGUCCGCCCGCCGCGCCCGAACAGUGCCAAAUCGGCAGCGGCCUCGGGGCGGGGCGUGACAACAACAGUAUAACUUUGCAACGAGUACUUUUUCUCAUUCUAUCGAACAAGGAGUAAAAGCUUUCUAUUAUGCCCCGAGAGUGUAAAUUUGGAACGAAACGAUAUCAAUGUUCACAAGAACCAAAACCGGAACAACGUUAGACUACUGAGUUGAGCCAUAACAGUAUAACUUUGCAACUAUAACUUUUUCUCAUUUAAUCGAACAAAGAGUAAAACCUAAUUAUAUUGUUCUAUUAUAACCUGAGACUGUAAAUUUGGAACGAAUCGAUGCAACGUUCACAAGAAACAAAACCGGAACAACAUUAGACUACUCUGUUGCGCCCUACCAGUUUAACUUUGCAACGAGUACUUUUUCUAAUUCUAUCGAACAAGGAAUAAAAGCUGUCUAUUAUGCCCCGAGAGUGUAAAUUUGGAACGAAACGAUGUCAACGUUCACAAGAACCGAAACCGGAACAACGUUAGACUACUCAGUUGAGCCCUAACAGAAUAACUUUGCAAGUAGAACUUUUUCUCAUUUAAUCGAACAAAGAGCGAAACCUAAUUAUAUUGUUCUAUUAUGCCCCGAGAGUGUAAAUUUGGAACGAAUCGAUGUCAAAGUUCACAAGAACCAAAACCGAAACUAAAUUAGACUACUAAGUUGCGCCAUAACAAUAUAACUUUGCAACGAGUAAUUUUUCUCAAUCAAUCGAAUAAAGAGUAAAACCUAAUUAUAUUGUUAUA